CCUACGGGAGGCAGCAGUGAGGAAUAUUGGUCAAUGGGCGCGAGCCUGAACCAGCCAAGUAGCGUGAAGGAUGACUGCCCUACGGGUUGUAAACUUCUUUUAUACAGGACUAAAGUGAGGCACGUGUGCCUUUUUGUAUGUACUUUAUGAAUAAGGAUCGGCUAACUACGUGCCAGCAGCCGCGGUAAUACGGAGGAUCCGAGCGUUAUCCGGAUUUAUUGGGUUUAACGGGAGCGUAGAUGGGUUUUUAAGUCAGUUGUGAAAGUUUGCGGCUCAACCGUAAAAUUGCAAUUGAUACUGGAAGUCUUGAGUAAAGUGAAGGUAGGCGGAAGUCGUGG
rnacentral:rRNA from 1 species